UACGUAGGGGCCUAGCGUUGUCCGGAUUUAUUGGGCGUAAAGAGCUCGUAGGCGGCUUGUCGCGUCGAAUGUGAAAACCCACGGCUCAACUGCGGGCUUGCGGUCGAUACGGGCAGGCUCGAGUUCGGUAGGGGAGACUGGAAUUCCUGGUGUAGCGGUGAAAUGCGCAGAUAUCAGGAGGAACACCGGUGGCGAAGGCGGGUCUCUGGGCCGAUACUGACGCUGAGGAGCGAAAGCGUGGGGAGCGAACAGG
rnacentral:rRNA from 1 species